rnacentral:rRNA from 1 species
CAAAGGAAUUGACGGGGCCCGCACAAGCGGCGGAGCAUGCGGAUUAAUUCGAUGCAACGCGAAGAACCUUACCAAGGCUUGACAUACACCGGUAACGCCCAGAGAUGGGUGCCCCUUUGUGGUCGGUGUACAGGUGGUGCAUGGUUGUCGUCAGCUCGUGUCGUGAGAUGUUGGGUUAAGUCCCGCAACGAGCGCAACCCUCGUCCUGUGUUGCCAGCGGGUCAUGCCGGGGACUCAUGGGAGACUGCCGGGGUCAACUCGGAGGAAGUGGGGAUGACGUCAAAUCAUCAUGCCCCUUAUGUCUUGGGCUUCACGCAUGCUACAAUGGCCGGUACAAAGGGCUGCGAUACCGCGAGGUGGAGCGAAUCCCAGAAAACCUGUCUCAGUCCGGAUUGAAGUCUGCAACUCGACUUCAUGAAGGCGGAAUCGCUAGUAACCGCGAAUCAGCAGGUCCGCGGUCGAAUACGUUCCCGGGCCUU